rnacentral:rRNA from 1 species
UUAAAGGGCCGCGGUAAUUUGACCGUGCGAAGGUAGCAUAGUCAGUAGUCUUUUAAUUGAAGGSUUGAAUGAAAGGUUGGACGAGAGACAAACUGUCUCCUUUAUGUGAUUUGAAUUUAACUUUUGAGUGAAAAGGCUCAAAUUAUUUASUGGGACGAUAAGACCCUAUAAAACUUUAUAUAAGUUUGACUUGAUUUGUGAUUUAAGUAAAAAAUAAUUCUGUUUGAUUUAUAUUUUGUUGGGGAGAUGUAGAUAUAAUAUGUAACUGUCUAUUUAAUUUAAUAGUUAUUAUUAGUAUGUGAUCCUUCUUUGGGGAUUAGAAGUGUAAGUUACUUUAGGGAUAACAGCGUAAUUUUCUUUGAGAGUUCUUAUCGACAGGAGUAGUYGCGACCUCGAUGUUGAAUUAAAAUUUWAGCUAGGUGUAGCCGUUUAGCUGGUGGGUCUGUUCGACCUUUGAAAUUUUACAU